GAUGAAGAACGUAGCGAAAUGCGAUACUUGGUGUGAAUUGCAGAAUCCCGUGAACCAUCUAGUCUUUGAACGCAAGUUGCGCCCGAAGCCAUCAGGUUGAGGGCACGUCUGCCUGGGCGUCACAUAUCGUUGCCCAAUGCCUAUUGCAGUGCAAUAGGAAUUUCUAGGGCGAAUGAUGGCUUCCCGUGAGCGUUGUUGCCUCGCGGUUGGUUGAAAAUCGAGUCCUUGGUAGGGUGUGCCAUGGUAGAUGGUGGUCGAGUUAGAACGAUACCGAUCAUGUGCAUGCUCCCCAAAAUAUGGCCUCUAUGACCCACACGCGUCUUUUGACGCUCAUGACGAGACCUCAGGUCAGGCGGGGCUACCCGCUGAAUUUAAGCAUAUCAAUAACGGAGGA
rnacentral:misc_RNA from 1 species